rnacentral:rRNA from 1 species
GCAGGCUGCAACCCGCCUGCAUGAAGUUGGAAUCGCUAGUAAUCGCGGAUCAGCAUGCCGCGGUGAAUACGUUCCCGGGCCUUGUACACACCGCCCGUCACACCAUGAGAGUCGGGGACACCCGAAGUCCGUAGUCUAACCGCAAGGGGGACGCGGCCGAAGGUGGAUUCGAUAAUUGGGGUGAAGUCGUAACAAGGUACC